GCGGCUGUGGCUCAGUGGUACAGCACCCACCUCGCAGGUGUGAGACCCUGGGUUCAAUCCUCAGCACCACA
rnacentral:tRNA from 1 species